CGGAAAUGAUGUCGAACUGUCGUAAAACAGUGGCUGUUCCCUCCUCCCCCGGGCAAACUGUCAGUGCAACCUGCAGCCCGCGGGAAGGUGGACUUAUUAAGUCCUGUAACCUGUCCUUAAGAAGAGGGGAGCUGCAGCGAAUACACUGAGAAUUCACAUCCAGGCCUCUGAAGACACUUUCUUGGUUGAAAAGGUUGUGUAGGUGUGUCUGGCCAGCCCUACAUUCAGAGGUGCAACACCUUCGUAGAAGAGUCUGGAAGAGAGAUGAAGAUGCAGAGGAGGAGAUGAAACAUCCUGGAGGGAUCAUUGUGCUGAAGGAUUACGAGGGGAGGAUUUCAGCUGACUGUUUUCAUCCUCUGGUCAUCUGCUUGGAUGUCUUGGAAUAGAUCAUCUGACUUCUGAAGGACAGCAUUUACCUGCAUGGAUCUGCUGGAUUAUUACCUGAGCGACACCUGGGCAGACUGCUGUUAUCGAUUAUUACAGAUUAGUUCCUUAUGAAUGGGCUGUUACCUGAAGUCUCUUCCUGCGUUGCGUUCACUGGUGAGUUAUGACAAUUUAUAUGAUAAAUAUUACAGAUAUAUAUUGAGUUCUCUCUUCUUUUUCACAGUUUCUUUGUGUAUCUCUUAGACAGCCCUUGCCUUUCCUGUGCCUGAGUUAAAUUAUGGUUGUUCCCUGUAGUCCUGUCUUUGUAGCGAAGAACAUGAAUGAAAUUUAUAUAAUACAUAUUAAAUUUGUUGUCUUAUGUA